UCAAAGGCCCUUUUCAGAGCCACUCAAUUUCUGAGAAAGAGCUAGU
rfam:Homo sapiens chromosome 6, GRCh38 reference primary assembly.